CCAUUUGACAAGGAUAAGGCCACCGGCCGGAUUACGAGCUUCUUCGAGCCCGGGACGGCUAUCAGCACGAAAGGGUGCCCCAAGCUGCUGUACUGCAAGUCGACCCUCCCAGGAACCGAAAACUUCGUGUCAAAUCCGCCACUACUGGAGAUGCCGGCAAAGAGGAGCGCAACCGACGCCCCAUCAGUUGAGCGCCCUUUCAAGUGCCUAGCUGCCAAGUGGCCGGCCACGGGCGGGAGUGUAAUGCUCGACUCUAGAACCAAAGACCACCACAGCUGUGCCGGGGAAGGGGAAGCAAAUUGUAGACUCAUCCAUCAGCCUUUGACUGCGGCGGACAAUGUGCGUUUCAGGGUCUCAACCCAAGUCGACCCGAGUAAAACCGCUACUUCAGGAGAAGGAUCCGGUGCGUCUACCCAAAUGACAUCCGAAGCCACUGUUGGAGCUACGGCCACUGCCAUCGACCAGCUGGGUGAGGGCGGUGACGCUGCAGAUGGCGCUCCAGGAUCUUCCUCAUUGGAUGCCGGUGCAAAGUCAUCCUCCUCGUUGGGUGCCGCUACCGAUCAGUCGGGUGAGGACGGUGAUACAACCGAUGCUGCUCUGGGGUCUUCUUUACCGGUGGAACAUGAGCGCAAGAAGAGCCUGGCCAAGUCCGACAAGUGGGCAGAGAAGGUGAAUGAGGCGGAAGAAACUGGCGGGAAGGCCCGGGUGGAUGAGUUGGAGCAGCGUCCAUAA
rnacentral:lncRNA from 1 species